AGUGUUUAGUUUAGGAACAGCCCUUCAGUUGACCACGAGAGAUGGAGGGAGGAGGUCACGCGCUCUUAGGUCGAGACUUUCAUCCUGACGCAGGCGUGUUGAGGCAUCGAGUGUGGAGAGUCAACAGAGGGCCACAAGACUGCCACUUCUACACAUCUUGUCACUGAGGCUUCAAUGAUACCUGAGAAGCCUCGCCCAACUGACACCGCCUGUGCUGAACGUCAAUUAAAGUGUCUCAGGUGUUCAGCGUGUUAUGUUAAGGUCAAACACCUGUCCGCACCUUCACUACCUCCAAAGGCUUAACCCUUUAGUACCAUGACGCGUUUCCACAUUCAUUAUGUUGGGGAUUAAAGUAGUGAAUACUCUG
rnacentral:lncRNA from 1 species